rnacentral:lncRNA from 1 species
UUAAUGUGCAAAAUGAGUUUGUAUUGCUCCAGUUGUUAAGGGUGGUGUUUUGCUUCCAGUUUCGUAGUCUGACUUUCCAUUGGUUUGUAGGAGUUUAAUAACUUGAAACGUUGUAUUUGUGAGAUAUUUGUGUGAGCUCAUGUUUUCUACAAGAAUAGUAGAUCCAUUUGAACGAGUCGUUAGAUUCCUCGUCAGCUACUCAAUCUUUCACCAGUCUUCUCCAUUUUGUCGAAAGCUCUGACAGUCUGAUUCAAGAAAUUCAUGUAAAGACCUCUUAAACAGAACAUCCCGGAGUUGGAUGGAAGAUUCGAACAAACACCAAUUUGGAAUCUAAGAGUAACAACUUCUAAGAUUUUACAACCGAAUUCCGAAUAAGAGAACACCACCAGGGAAGUUACAUCUUCUAAUUACCUAACCAUCUUGAAGUCCGGAACUUUUCCCCGUGAUAAUGCCUAGUGUUUAUAAAAGUAUUAAAAAGUGUCUCUACAUUGUUCUACUAGAACUGUCUAUAUCAGUCCAGUGUACUCAAGAUGACCCUAGUGACGUCACCAUCCUUUCAUUCAGAAGAGGUUAUACUCAGAUGUUUGUUUCCCAGUAGUUUGAUACUUCACUUCUUAUUAUCAGAGCCAGCAAUCUCCUGCCCUGAAGAUAUGACCAUUGUGACUUCACCAUCCUUUCAUUCUGAAAAGGUUAUGUUCUUGAAAUUUUUGUUUACCAGUAAUUUUAUCCUUGCAUAAAGUCUUCCUGGUUUCAGAAAUAUGUGUCAAUUUAGAACUGGCCCAAUCAAUAUAAAUUAAAAGCAUGUAUAAACAUGUUACUCAAACUUAUCAGAAUAUUUUGUAUCGCAUCUCAAUUUUUAAUGGUUCUAAACUUAGUUAUCAAAUUAAGUAUAGCAUUUUUUUUCCUAACAAAACAAUUAAACUCAUUAAGUAGUGUAAAACCUAUACGUCGUUAAUUAAUAUUUCUAGAUUUCUUAAUUUUUCUAUAUUUAAAUAUUUUCCAAACAAAUCAAUGUUGAACUCUGAACGACUACUUUGUACUCUGUUUAUUUUAAAACAAAAUGUAAAAUCGCUUAAAUAUUAAUAUCAUUAACUUAUGUUGAUCAUGAAAUUAUUAGAGUAAAUUUUUUUUUUAAAUUCAAACCUUAAAAUUCUUUCUCAGCAAAAUUAUUUUAAAUGCUAAACCCUGAAACCUACAUAUAAUUAAACAAGAUUUAUUAUCGUAAGGUUAAACUUUUUAAAUUCGAAAUAGAUUUUAUACGCCCUCUUAAACCAAAUCUCAUAGCUGCUGCAAGUUUUAGUUUACAUUUAGAAAGUAAACUCAACCAAAACUUUUAUUUUCCCUUCGAUUUUACUAUUUUGAUUUAUUGGUGUCAGUUUUCUCUACAUUUCAUGGAUCUAGAGUUGUUGGGAACCUUUAUCUUAAUGAAACAACGUAUUGAAUCUAUAACUUUGUUGGCAUAAUGCCUGUAAUAGUAAAGGUUAACGUUGGGUCAAGAAGAGAAGAAAAAUGUAUUCUUAAUCCCAAAAUUAUUAUCUCAACUUAAAUUGAUAAAAUGGCCCUUAUAAACGGUUCAACUAAAACAAAUGUGAUAUAUAAAUUUCAAAAGGGAACACUUAAAUUAAGAGUUG